rnacentral:rRNA from 1 species
UACAGAGGUGCCAAGCGUUGUUCGGAUUCACUGGGCGUAAAGGGUGCGUAGGCGGUCGGGUAAGUCUGAUGUGAAAUCUCACAGCUUAACUGUGAAACUGCAUUGGAUACUAUCCGGCUUGAGGAAUGGAGGGGAGACUGGAAUACUUGGUGUAGCAGUGAAAUGCGUAGAUAUCAAGUGGAACACCAGUGGCGAAGGCGAGUCUCUGGACAUUUCCUGACGCUGAGGCACGAAAGCCAGGGGAGCAAACGGG